rnacentral:rRNA from 1 species
UACGGGGGGGGCAAGCGUUGUUCGGAAUUACUGGGCGUAAAGGGCUCGUAGGCGGCCAACUAAGUCAGACGUGAAAUCCCUCGGCUUAACCGGGGAACUGCGUCUGAUACUGGAUGGCUAGAGUUUGGGAGAGGGAUGCGGAAUUCCAGGUGUAGCGGUGAAAUGACGUAGAUAUCAGGAGGAACACCAGUAGCGAAGGCGGCUCGCUGGGCCAUUCCUGACGCUGAGACGCGAAAGCUAGGGGAGCGAACAGG